GUCGAGAAUAAUUCACAAUGGACGAAAGUCUGAUGGUGCAACGCCGCGUGGAGGAUGAAGGUCUUCGGAUUGUAAACUCCUGUCAUCGGGGAGUAAGACCUGGCGGUAAAUAGCCGACAGGGUUGAUAGUACCCGAAGAGGAAGGGACGGCUAACUUCGUGCCAGCAGCCGCGGUAAUACGAAGGUCCCAAGCGUUGUUCGGAAUCACUGGGCGUAAAGGGAGCGUAGGCGGCGUGGUAAGUCAGAUGUGAAAUCCCGGGGCUCAAACCCGGAACUGCAUCCGAUACUGCCAUGCUUGAGGGUUGGAGAGGUAGCUGGAAUUCUCGGUGUAGCAGUGAAAUGCGUGGAUAUCGAGAGGAACACUCGUGGCGAAGGCGAGCUACUGGACAACAUCUGACGCUGAGGCUCGAAGGCCAGGGGAGCAAAAGGGAUUAGAUACCCUUGUAGUCC
rnacentral:rRNA from 1 species